rnacentral:rRNA from 1 species
UCGGGAAUAUUGCGCAAUGGGGGAAACCCUGACGCAGCGACGCCGCGUAGAGGAAGAAGGUUUUCGGAUUGUAAACUCUUGUCGACAGGGAAGAAAAUGACAGUACCUGUGGAGGAAGCCCCGGCUAACUACGUGCCAGCAGCCGCGGUAAUACGUAGGGGGCGAGCGUUAUCCGGAUUUACUGGGUGUAAAGAGCGUGUAGGCGGGAAGGCAAGUCAGAUGUGAAAACUAUGGGCUCAACCCAUAGAAUGCAUCUGAAACUGUUUUUCUUGAGUGCGGGAGAGGAAAGUGGAAUUCCUAGUGUAGCGGUGAAAUGCAUAGAUAUUAGGAGGAACACCAGUGGCGAAGGCGGCUUUCUGGACCGUAACUGACGCUGAGACGCGAAAGUGUGGGGAGCAAACA